rnacentral:rRNA from 1 species
CAUGCAGUCGAACGAUGAACCUCCUUCGGGAGGGGAUUAGUGGCGAACGGGUGAGUAACACGUGGGCAAUCUGCCCUUCACUCUGGGACAAGCCCUGGAAACGGGGUCUAAUACCGGAUACGACUACCGACCGCAUGGUCUGGUGGUGGAAAGCUCCGGCGGUGAAGGAUGAGCCCGCGGCCUAUCAGCUUGUUGGUGGGGUGAUGGCCUACCAAGGCGACGACGGGUAGCCGGCCUGAGAGGGCGACCGGCCACACUGGGACUGAGACACGGCCCAGACUCCUACGGGAGGCAGCAGUGGGGAAUAUUGCACAAUGGGCGAAAGCCUGAUGCAGCGACGCCGCGUGAGGGAUGACGGCCUUCGGGUUGUAAACCUCUUUCAGCAGGGAAGAAGCGAGAGUGACGGUACCUGCAGAAGAAGCGCCGGCUAACUACGUGCCAGCAGCCGCGGUAAUACGUAGGGCGCAAGCGUUGUCCGGAAUUAUUGGGCGUAAAGAGCUCGUAGGCGGCUUGUCACGUCGGAUGUGAAAGCCCGGGGCUUAACCCCGGGUCUGCAUUCGAUACGGGCAGGCUAGAGUUCGGUAGGGGAGAUCGGAAUUCCUGGUGUAGCGGUGAAAUGCGCAGAUAUCAGGAGGACACCGGUGGCGAAGGCGAUCUCUGGGCCGAUACUGACGCUGAGGAGCGAAAGCGUGGGGAGCGAACAGGAUUAGAUAC